AACGAACGCUGGCGGCAUGCCUAACACAUGCAAGUCGAACGGGAUCCUAGCUUGCUAGGUGAGAGUGGCGGACGGGUGAGUAACACGUGGGAAUCUGCCUUUUGGUUCGGGAUAACCGCGGGAAACUGCGGCUAAUACCGAAUGCCCUCGUGAGAGGAAAGAUUUAUCGCCAGAAGAGGAGCCCGCGUCCGAUUAGGUAGUUGGUGGGGUAAAGGCCUACCAAGCCGACGAUCGGUAGCUGGUCUGAGAGGAUGAUCAGCCACACUGGGACUGAGAUACGGCCCAGACUCCUACGGGAGGCAGCAGUGGGGAAUAUUGGACAAUGGGGGCAACCCUGAUCCAGCAAUGCCGCGUGAGUGAUGAAGGCCUUAGGGUUGUAAAGCUCUUUUGCCAGGGAAGAUGAUGACUGUACCUGGAGAAUAAGCCCCGGCUAACUACGUGCCAGCAGCCGCGGUAAU
rnacentral:rRNA from 1 species